rnacentral:rRNA from 1 species
CCUACGGGAGGCAGCAGUAGGGAAUAUUGCUCAAUGGGGGAAACCCUGAAGCAGCAACGCCGCGUGGAGGAUGAAGGUUUUAGGAUUGUAAACUCCUUUUGUGAGAGAAGAUAAUGACGGUAUCUCACGAAUAAGCACCGGCUAACUCCGUGCCAGCAGCCGCGGUAAUACGGAGGGUGCAAGCGUUACUCGGAAUCACUGGGCGUAAAGAGUGCGCAGGCGGGCUUGUAAGUCAGAUGUGAAAUCCUGUAGCUUAACUACAGAACUGCAUUUGAAACUAUGAGUCUAGAGUGUGGGAGAGGUAGGUGGAAUUCUUGGUGUAGGGGUAAAAUCCGUAGAUAUCAAGAGGAAUACUCAUUGCGAAGGCGACCUACUGGAACAUUACUGACGCUCAUGCACGAAAGCGUGGGGAGCAAACAGGAUUAGAUACCCCAGUAGUC